rnacentral:rRNA from 1 species
AUGGAGCAGCAGCCUGUGGCGGCAGCGGAGCCGGAGGUACCGGCGGGGCUUGGGCUGACGGCCGCGGAGUACGCGCAGCUGCUGCCCACGGUGGAGGCGUACCACCGGUACGCCGUGGGGCCAGGCCAAUGCUCCUCGCUCGUGGCGCAGCGUAUCGAGGCGCCGCCAGCCGCCGUCUGGGCCAUCGUCCGCCGCUUUGACUGCCCCCAGGUGUACAAGCACUUCAUCCGCAGCUGCGCGCUCCGCCCGGACCCCGAGGCCGGCGACGAGCUCCGCCCGGGCCGCCUCCGCGAGGUCAGCGUCAUCUCCGGCCUCCCCGCCAGCACCAGCACCGAGCGCCUCGACCUCCUGGACGACGCGCGCAGGGCCUUCGGCUUCACCAUCACCGGCGGCGAGCACCGCCUCCGCAACUACCGGUCCGUCACCACCGUCUCCGAGCUCUCCCCGGCCGCGCCCGCCGAGAUCUGCACCGUCGUUCUUGAGUCCUACGUCGUCGACGUCCCCGACGGCAACAGCGAGGAGGACACGCGCCUCUUCGCGGACACCGUCGUCAGGCUCAACCUCCAGAAGCUCAAGUCCGUCGCCGAGGCCAACGCCGCCGCCGCCGCGGCCACGCCCGCGCCGCCGGCAGAAUAA